GUGAGGAAUAUUGGUCAAUGGGCGAGAGCCUGAACCAGCCAAGUCGCGUGAAGGAAGAAGGAUCUAUGGUUCGUAAACUUCUUUUGCAGGGGAAUAAAGUGCGGGACGUGUCCUGUUUUGUAUGUACCCUGAGAAUAAGGAUCGGCUAACUCCGUGCCAGCAGCCGCGGUAAUACGGAGGAUCCGAGCGUUAUCCGGAUUUAUUGGGUUUAGAGGGUGCGUAGGUGGUUUGAUAAGUCAGCGGUGAAAGUUUGCAGCUUAACUGUAAAAAUGCCGUUGAAACUGUCGGACUUGAGUGUAAAUGAGGUAGGCGGAAUGCGUGGUGUAGCGGUGAAAUGCAUAGAUAUCACGCAGAACUCCGAUUGCGAAGGCAGCUUACUAAGCUACAACUGACACUGAAGCACGAAAGCGUGGGGAUCAAACAGGAUUAGAUACCCGAGUAGUCC
rnacentral:rRNA from 1 species